UCUGCCUGGUAGUGGGGGAUAACGUCCGGAAACGGGCGCUAAUACCGCAUACGUCCCACGGGGGAAAGCAGGGGAUCUUCGGACCUUGCGCUACCAGAUGAGCCCAGGCCGGAUUAGCUAGUUGGUGAGGUAAUGGCUCACCAAGGCCGCGAUCCGUAGCUGGUCUGAGAGGAUGAUCAGCCACACUGGGACUGAGACACGGCCCAGACUCCUACGGGAGGCAGCAGUGGGGAAUAUUGGACAAUGGGCGCAAGCCUGAUCCAGCCAUGCCGCGUGUGUGAAGAAGGUCUUCGGAUUGUAAAGCACUUUAAGUUGGGAGGAAGGGUUGUAGCCUAAUACGCUGUAACUUUGACGUUACCGACAGAAUAAGCACCGGCUAACUCUGUGCCAGCAGCCGCGGUAAUACAGAGGGUGCAAGCGUUAAUCGGAAUUACUGGGCGUAAAGCGCGCGUAGGUGGUUCAGUAAGAUGGGUGUGAAAUCCCCGGGCUCAACCUGGGAACUGCUUUCAUAACUGCUGAGCUAGAGUACGGUAGAGGGUAGUGGAAUCUCCUGUGUAGCGGUGAAAUGCGUAGAUAUAGGAAGGAACACCAGUGGCAAAGGCGACUACCUG
rnacentral:rRNA from 1 species